rnacentral:rRNA from 1 species
UACGUAGGGGGCAAGCGUUAUUCGGAUUUACUGGGUGUAAAGGGAGCGUAGACGGCGAAGCAAGUCUGAAGUGAAAGCCCGGGGCUCAACCGCGGGACUGCUUUGGAAACUGUUUUGCUGGAGUGCUGGAGAGGCAGGCGGAAUUCCUAGUGUAGCGGUGAAAUGCGUAGAUAUUAGGAGGAACACCAGUGGCGAAGGCGGCCUGCUGGACAGUAACUGACGUUGAGGCUCGAAAGCGUGGGGAGCAAACAGG